rnacentral:rRNA from 1 species
UAUCUCUGUAGAGUCUGCAUAUCAAUAAGCGGAGGAAAAGAAACUAACUAGGAUUCCCUCAGUAACGGCGAGUGAAGCGGGAAGAGCUCAAAUUUGAAAUCUUCAAGGUUCUACCUUGACGAAUUGUAGUUUAAAGAAGUGUUUUCUGUUGGAGUUUUGGUAAAAGUUCUUUGGAAUAGGACAUCAUAGAGGGUGAGAAUCCCGUAUUUGACCAUUAUUUCCAGCUUUGUGAUACACUUUCAAAGAGUCGGAUUGUUUGGGAAUGCAGUCCAAAAUGGGUGGUAAAUUUCAUCUAAAGCUAAAUAUUGGCGAGAGACCGAUAGCGAACAAGUACCGUGAGGGAAAGAUGAAAAGAACUUUGAAAAGAGAGUUAAACAGUACGUGAAAUUGUCAAAAGGGAAGCGUUUGACACCAGUGUUGUUUUCUCGAAAAUCAAUUAAAAAAGGCAGGAUUUUGUGUUGUAUUGACUUUAUCAGCUUUCUGCACUCUUUUCUUGUCUUUUUUAAUGCACUUUUCGUUUAACAAGUCAACAUCAAUUUCUUUUGUUGUAAAAGGGUCAUUGGAAGGUGGCUUUCUUUUCGGAGAAAGUGUUUAUAGCCUUUGGCCUCUGCAAUCGGAGAGAUUGAGGUCUGCAGCGUAGAUCCUUCGGGGUUAGAUACAUUUGUGCUAAGUUAUAGCCUUUCAUAGACAACUCGUUGACUAUGAUCAGUCAUGUAGCUUACUCGCUUCUGCUAUUUUACCUACGCUUAGGAUGUUGACGAUCAGCUGAGCGCG